AUUGAACGCUAGCGGCAUGCUUAACACAUGCAAGUCGAACGAGUGGCGGACGGGUGAGUAAUAUCUGGGAAACUGCCUAAUGGCGGGGGAUAACUACUGGAAAGGGUGGCUAAUACCGCAUACCAUCGGAGCGGCCGAGAUGGGAUUAGCUAGUUGGGGGGGUAAAGGCUCACCAAGGCGACGAUCCCUAGCUGGUCUGAGAGGAUGACCAGCCACACGGGAACGGAGACACGGCCCAGACUCCUACGGGAGGCAGCAGUGGGGAAUAUUGGACAAUGGGCGAAAGCCUGAUGCAGCCAUGCCGCGUGUAUGAAGAAGGCCUUCGGGUUGUAAAGUACUUUCAGCGGGGAGGCGGUACCCGCAGAAGAAGCACCGGCUAACUCCGUGCCAGCAGCCGCGGUAAUUC
rnacentral:rRNA from 1 species